rfam:Triticum aestivum genome assembly, contig: Triticum_aestivum_CS42_TGACv1_scaffold_249418_3DL
CAAGUACUCCCUCCGUCCGAAAAUACUUGUCAUCAAAAUGGAUAAAAAGGAAUGUAUCUAUAACUAAAAUACGUCUAGAUACAUCCCCUUUUAUUCAUUUUAAUGACUAGUAUUUUCAGACGGAGAGAAUAUUAC